rnacentral:rRNA from 1 species
AGCGAACGCUGGCGGCGUGCCUAACACAUGCAAGUCGAACGUGAAAAGGGAAACCUGAGUAAAGUGGCGUACGGGUGAGUAACGCGUAGGUAAUCUACCCCAGAAUCUGGAAUAACCUGCCGAAAGGCGGGCUAAUACUGGAUAGAGCGAGGGAACUCGUAAGAGAGUUUUUCGGGAAAGGGAGCCCGCAAGGGCCUUCGUUCUGGGAUGAGCCUGCGUCUCAUUAGCUAGUUGGUAAGGUAACGGCUUACCAAGGCGAUGAUGAGUAGCUGGUCUGAGAGGAUGAUCCGCCACACUGGAACUGAAACACGGUCCAGACUCCUACGGGAGGCAGCAGUGGGGAAUCUUGCGCAAUGGACGAAAGUCUGACGCAGCCACGCCGCGUGAGUGAAGAAGGCCUUCGGGUUGUAAAGCUCUGUCGGAUGGGACGAACAUCUUCAUAGUGAAUAGCUAUGAGGACUGACGGUACCAUCAAAGGAAGCACCGGCUAACUCCGUG